GACGAACGCUGGCGGCGUGCUUAACACAUGCAAGUCGAACGGAAAGGCCCUGCUUUUGUGGGGUGCUCGAGUGGCGAACGGGGGAGUAACACGUGAGUAACCUGCCCUUGACUGUGGGAGAACACCAGGAAAAUGGGGAUAAUACCGGGGAGGAGCUCCUGCAGCAUGGUGGGGGAUGGAAAGAUUCGGCGGUGGUGGAUGGACUCGCGGGUUAUCAGCUGGAUUGUGGGGUAGUGGAGGUCCAAGGCUUUGACGGGUAGCCGGCCUGAGAGGGUGACCGGCCACAUUGGGACUACGAUACGGCCCAGUAUCCUACGGGAGGCAGCAGUGGGAAAUAUUGCACAAUGGGCGGAAGUCUGAUGCAGCGACGCCGCGUGCGUGAUGACGGCCUUCGGGUUGUAAACCGCUUUCGCCUGUGCCGAAGCCUGCGUGACGGUAAUGGGUAAAGAAGCACCGGCUAACUACGUG
rnacentral:rRNA from 1 species